rnacentral:rRNA from 1 species
GGAUCAUUACAAGUUGACCCCGGCCCUCGGGCCGGGAAGUUCACAACCCUUUGUUGUCCGACUCUGUUGCCUCCGGGGCGACCCUGCCUCCGGGCGGGGGCCCCGGGUGGACACUUCAAACUCUUGCGUAACUUUGCAGUCUGAGUAAAUUUAAUUAAUAAAUUAAAACUUUCAACAACGGAUCUCUUGGUUCUGGCAUCGAUGAAGAACGCAGCGAAAUGCGAUAAGUAAUGUGAAUUGCAGAAUUCAGUGAAUCAUCGAAUCUUUGAACGCACAUUGCGCCCCCUGGUAUUCCGGGGGGCAUGCCUGUUCGAGCGUCAUUUCACCACUCAAGCCUCGCUUGGUAUUGGGCGACGCGGUCCGCCGCGCGCCUCAAAUCGACCGGCUGGGUCUUCCGUCCCCUCAGCGUUGUGGAAACUAUUCGCUAAAGGGUGCCGCGGGAGGUCACGCCGCAAAACAACCCCAUUUCUAAGGUUGACCUCGGAUCAGGUAGGGAUACCCGCUGAACUUAAGCAUAU